GACGAACGCUGGCGGCGUGCUUAACACAUGCAAGUCGAACGGAAAGGCCCUGCUUUUGUGGGGUGCUCGAGUGGCGAACGGGUGAGUAACACGUGAGUAACCUGCCCUUGACUUUGGGAUAACUUCAGGAAACUGGGGCUAAUACCGGAUAGGGGCUUUUGCUGCAUGGUGGGGGUUGGAAAGUUUCGGCGGUUGGGGAUGGACUCGCGGCUUAUCAGCUUGUUGGUGGGGUAGUGGCUUACCAAGGCUUUGACGGGUAGCCGGCCUGAGAGGGUGACCGGCCACAUUGGGACUGAGAUACGGCCCAGACUCCUACGGGAGGCAGCAGUGGGGAAUAUUGCACAAUGGGCGGAAGCCUGAUGCAGCAACGCCGCGUGCGGGAUGACGGCCUUCGGGUUGUAAACCGCUUUCGCCUGUGACGAAGCGUGAGUGACGGUAAUGGGUAAAGAAGCACCGGCUAACUACGUG
rnacentral:rRNA from 1 species